AGGUUAAUAUUCCUGGACUUUUUAUAGGUGGUGAAGUGGGGACGAAGAAAGCUAGAUGAGCCAGGCGUUGGUUGUCCUGGUACUUGCAUGUAGGAGGGGAGACUUGGCAAAUCCGGUUUCCUGUUAACUCUGAGGUGCGAAGUGGUUCUGACAUUUCGGUGUACAGAGAAGUCAUUAAUGCUCGGCUUCCAGGAAAAGCUGCUAGCCAUAACCUAUAGAGAACCGUACCGCAAACCGACACAGGUGGACAGGUAGAGAAUACUGAGGCGCUUGAGAGAACUCGGGUGAAGGAACUAGGCAAAAUGGUACCGUAACUUCGGGAGAAGGUACGCCCUUGCUGGUUAGUUUUUUUACAAAACAAAGCUGGUGAGGGCCGCAGAGACCAGGUGGCUGCGACUGUUUAUUAAAAACACAGCACUCUGCAAAUUCGUAAGAAGACGUAUAGGGUGUGACGCCUGCCCGGUGCCGGAAGGUUAAUUGAUGGGGUCAUCUUCGGAGAAGCUCUUGAUCGAAGCCCCGGUAAACGGCGGCCGUAACUAUAACGGUCCUAAGGUAGCGAAAUUCCUUGUCGGGUAAGUUCCGACCUGCACGAAUGGCGUAACGAUGGCCACACUGUCUCCACCCGAGACUCAGUGAAAUUGAAAUCGCUGUGAAGAUGCAGUGUACCCGCGGCUAGACGGAAAGACCCCGUGAACCUUUACUAUAGUUUUGCACUGGACUUUGAUGAUAACUGUGUAGGAUAGGUGGGAGGCUAUGAAGUGAGGACGCUAGUUCUUAUGGAGCCGACCUUGAAAUACCACCCUGUUGUUAUUGAGGUUCUAACUUGGUCCCGUAAUCCGGGAUGAGGACAGUGUAUGAUGGGUAGUUUGACUGGGGCGGUCUCCUCCCAAAGAGUAACGGAGGAGCACAAAGGUACCCUCGGUACGGUCGGACAUCGUACCAAGAGUGUAAAGGCAUAAGGGUGCUUGACUGCGAGAGUGACGGCUCGAGCAGGUACGAAAGUAGGUCUUAGUGAUCCGGUGGUUCUGUAUGGAAGGGCCAUCGCUCAACGGAUAAAAGGUACUCCGGGGAUAACAGGCUGAUACCGCCCAAGAGUUCAUAUCGACGGCGGUGUUUGGCACCUCGAUGUCGGCUCAUCACAUCCUGGGGCUGAAGCAGGUCCCAAGGGUAUGGCUGUUCGCCAUUUAAAGUGGUACGCGAGCUGGGUUUAGAACGUCGUGAGACAGUUCGGUCCCUAUCUGCCGUGGGCGUAGGAAAAUUGAGAGGAGCUGCUCCUAGUACGAGAGGACCGGAGUGGACGAACCUCUGGUGUACCGGUUGUCACGCCAGUGGCAUAGCCGGGUAGCUAAGUUCGGACGGGAUAACCGCUGAAAGCAUCUAAGCGGGAAGCCUCCCUCAAGAUGAGUUUUCCCAUGAAGCCCGUUGAAGACUACGACGUUGAUAGGCAAGGUGUGGAAGCGCAGUAAUGUGUGAAGCUAACUUGUACUAAUUGGCUGAUUGUCUUGACCAU
rnacentral:rRNA from 1 species